CGACGGCUUUCUGUAGUCAUUACUAUCGAAAUCACGCCGAUGUUAUUGCAAACCAGUUUAUUCCGUUAUUAGUCGGAGAAACCUGAAGUCCAUUUUCACUUUUCCCUUCUCUUUUUUUUUAAAGAGGCGUAUCAAAAUAGUGUUCAGAUUCCAUCACAUAGGCAUUCAAACCAAAACGUAUUCAUAAAAAAGGGAUGUGCGUUCUUAUUAGUUACAGUGUAGUGUUACAAAUGGUGUCGCAUAGUCGUUCGUUCCACAUUUCACGGAAAAUAUUAGAGUAACAGCGACGCAAGUUUUAAUGCCAAUUGCAAACAACUCAUUAAUGCGCAAUAAGUUUUUUAAAUUCACCGUUAUUGAAGGUUAUGCAGAGCGUGUCCGUCCGUUAAAUCGUUAACGGUUCAGUAAACCUUUUACUCAAAUGCCCCACCCUAGAUGGCGAAGUCGUCGAGCCCUCUGCCCCUCUCGCGGCAGUCAUGGGAAAUUGUUGUCGGAAGUGGACCUUCUUUGUUCUUUCUUUACCUUUAAACAAAUAUGGCGGGCAGACCAGCAGACCACCUUGCAUGGUGUCGGAGUGCAGUGGGCUGUCGGAGUGUCGGGUAUGAGGGUUUCAGAUGUAGAACAUUUUGUUGUUUUAGCCAGAAUAAUGGGAGUAACAAUGGUGAAGCAAAUAUAGGAGAACAGGAAAUCUGGAAGAAAUCGGUGGUGGUGGUUGGUGUGAAGAAACUAUUGCCCUGGAGUGCUGUAAGAUGUUGUAGUAGUGGUACUACUCAAGCUGUCCAUCAAUUCUAACAGUUGAUUAGAGUUUUGGCCACGACAAAAUUUGAAGAGGCCCCAUCCAAUCUGAACCAAGAAAUUGAGACAGGUAGCAACCAAUAUAGUUGACAAAAGAAUGUGAAGGCACCAGCCAAUCUCAUCGUGAAUUUUGCUUAUCUUUUUGAUGCCUUUAAAAUGAUCGCUAGUGUUGAGAAAGAAGGAAAAUCUGAACCCAAAGUAAAGCUUGAAGAACCAUCUGCUACCGGUAUACCAAUAACCAACGGAACUUAUUCCAUGCGCUCCAAGCCGGCAUUAUUAUGGCGUGCUCUUGCAGACUCAUGACAAUGACUUACGACGGUUCUGGUGGAGUCAUCAAGGAGGAAAGCAGUGGUAACCCACACCAAAUCAAAAUCCUUCACCAACCGACAUCAUUUUCAAGUUCGGCAUGGAAGGCCGGCAUCUGUUUGCGGUAUGUAAGAGCAUGGCGUCUGAAGAGACAUCGUAAAGGUUACUUGUUCAAGUUCCCUUAAGCAAACCUUUAUUACUUCCAUAUCCCAGACCAAUUGCCUAAAGUACCAGCAGAUCUAGAAACCCAAAGUUGAUGAAAUUUGUCUUGAGGAUUAAUUGAGUUCUACAGUAUCACGACGAAAAGCAUCUAGCACGAUGUCGUUUAAGACUUCCCAUUGGCCAGACCUCUGUUCAGAAUGUCUCGGUUUUCCACGCAAACGACAUCAAAUCGUUGAGCGAAUUAUCUUUGAAAGUUCGAACACUCUGUGCAUGUCCCGCUGAGAAGAAAUGGUGACUAAAGCCGGCAGCCUAGGCAGAGACAGUAAAAUUGGACAAGGAAUUCAACCCAUCUCGUCCACGAUUGCGUAAACGCAAGGGCCACUAGAUACGUUGGGACUGGAGGUAAACCGAAAUCUAAGACCAUGAAGAAACUUAAUGCUUAUUCCUAAUAGCAAUUGCGCUCACUACGUAAUUCUCUAACCCAUCACUAAAGAACACCACUCCUGCAACACAAACGAAUGUUGUUCAACUCAAUUGGUGUUUACGCAGCCGGGACAACUGGAAUUCCCAUGGGUCGGCGUAUUUAUCACCAUUCAUUCACCACCAUAAAUGGUAAAACAUAUUUUAGGUUGAUCGCGCAAUGAUGAGUUCAGCUUCGGGACCCCUACCUGGCUGUACUAAUUGCUCUCCAUUGCCUCCGCCACUCCAAUCAAUGUCUUCUGGAAAAUACAGUAUCGCUUCACUGAGAUGUAUACUUUGACGUUCCAAUGGCAAACUUAAAAGGAAAUGUGACGAUUCGAACGUUGUGAUUCGUUCACAGGACAAAGAAAUAUUAACGUUACCUCCGCAGUUUGAAGCAUUUUUACCUGUAGAAUUUCGAUCCCAAUUCUCAGCGGGUACCAGGUGGUUGGUCAGCUAAACGGCGGCUAAGCGUGUCCGGAUGAUAAUCAGAUGUUGCUGGAUGAAUGAGACGUUGUGACCAUCUCCAAAUUCGUGGUAGAUCAUCAUUCAGCUCAAUGUACUCCGGAUCGGUUGCUAUCAGUAACUGUUAUAGACGAUUUACUUUUCGUGUCCAAUGGACUUGGUUUCUCAACAGAAGUUGUUUUCCUAAUGAAAUAACACGUUUAAUGGUCCGUAAUAUUAAAAUAAUUAUCAAUUUUAGUCGUGUGACACCUGCCGAAGUGAAGGACACGAAAAUGCAAUAUGCAAAACAUAACGAAACGCAUUUCGACUUCCAGUGCUGGUGAAAUUUAAAGUUAAAAAAAACAAAACAAUUUCUAUUACAAACUUCUCAGAAGUUGGGUGUAACGAAAAGUCCCUCAAAGAAGUAUGUAAGCUUAUUCUUCACCUGGAAGCAUCCAAAGUUCUUCAAGGUCUAGGCUGCGUUAAACGUUGUUGGCUCAGCCUCUCCAGCGGAAACCUACUAUGACUAAUUGCUCCCUAGUAAAACUGGCCUCGCUCUCUUCUUCCUUCUUCAGGUAAUCUCCCUGAGCACAAUGAAACAAGGCAUAGUCUCCCCUGUCUUGAUUGACCGAACUGUGCAAGGAAAUUUCAUAUUGAUAAAAUUAAUAUAUUGAAGGUAAAAUAUAAACAUGUAUGAUGAGGGAUGAUAAAAAUAUUUAUAAAAAAGUGUCAAUAAGA